rnacentral:lncRNA from 10 species
UUCGCCUAGGAACCAGAAAGAAUCCACAGCCACUACAGCCACUGGAAAUAGGCCCACCAACUGUGGUCUCCACUAUGAACCUACUAUCAGGUGUAAGAUCUGGGACUACAUUCUAUUUUCUGUAAAUUGUGCAGAGCAAGUGUGUGGUGACCGUUUUUUCCCCCUCGGAUUUUAAUCUACUGGAUAUGCCCAUAGAGUUUGCAGGAAUAACGGCUGGUUCUGGAAGCUGUUGGAGAUGUGAGAUAAAGAAAGAGAAUAAAUAUAAAACAUCAAUACUACUAUUUUGAAACACUGAUUUACUUUUCGGAAAGAGAAGAAAGGGCAAAGGGAUGGGAACUAAUAUAGAUAUACCAAAUUAUGUGCAACACACACAAGAGAAAGAGGAAAAAGAAUGAGAAAGAGAAAGAGACAUUUGCUUCCCAGCCAUCCCAGUGUUCAUCAACAAGAACAACAACAACAACAGCAACAACAACAAAAUCAAAGGAGUGACAAUCUGUUCUUAGACUGUCUUCACAGUUCCCCACCAGAAAAAAGAGUAUUCCUUUUCUGCAGCACUUAAAUCCUAUACUGGCAGCAAUGAAAACCCAAGGGAAAUUAUCUACAAGUAUGAACAGACAGUCCUCAAUUUAUUUACGAGUUCGACCUACGAUUUUUUUGACUUCACAGUGGU